GAGGCAGCGCAAAGUGGCCA
rnacentral:misc_RNA from 1 species